rfam:Xenopus laevis strain J chromosome 5S, whole genome shotgun sequence.
ACAGCAUUGGACAAAGUCUAUAGUCUGUGCAUUUCUAACUCCCCGUGCACAAGGUCUGACUGUGCAGGCAGAAGACAUUUUACUCAUUUGCUCUGCUCUUUCUUGUAGUUACCCUUGUCUUAGGUGUCAGUUCCUGUCAUUUUUUUUCCACCUGUUUGGGCACAAUUUGUGGGAAAACCCUUGGACUUGGCAGUUGCUGCAGGCCUUGGCAAAGACAGCACA